GAUGGCUCGACUUUCUUUUAAACAAUGGCGGAUAGUUUUCUGUGUCGUGUAUCAUUGUUAAGCUAGUUCUUUCUGCGACAUGGCAAGCUUUUGCGUUAAGUCAACGUAUCUGCUUAUUAUGUGAUGUGGUGUUAUGUCAGAUGAUGACGCAGUACGAGGAAGGCAGCAAAUGCCCAAUCAUAGCUUGCUGCGAUAGCUGCUCCAAACAUGCAUUUAGAGCAGUUUUAAUUAAACCUUAUAGUACCCGUAUAUA